rnacentral:rRNA from 1 species
CCUACGGGUGGCAGCAGUGAGGAAUAUUGGUCAAUGGGCGCGAGCCUGAACCAGCCAAGUCGCGUGAGGGAUGAAGGUUCUAUGGAUCGUAAACCUCUUUUAUAAGGGAAUAAAGUGUGGGACGUGUCCUAUUUUGUAUGUACCUUAUGAAUAAGGAUCGGCUAACUCCGUGCCAGCAGCCGCGGUAAUACGGAGGCUCCGAGCGUUAUCCGGAUUGAUUGGGUUUAAAGGGUGCGUAGGCGGCCUUUUAAGUCAGCGGUGAAAGUCCGUGGCUCAACCAUAGAAUUGCCGUUGAAACUGGGGGGCUUGAGUAUGUUAGAGGCAGGCGGAAUGCGUGGUGUAGCAGUGAAAUGCGUAGAUAUCACGCAGAACCCUGGUGGCGAAGGCGGCCUGCCAGGCCAUGACUGACGCUGAUGCACGAAAGCGUGGGGAUCAAACAGGAUUAGAUACCCGUGUAGUC